rnacentral:rRNA from 1 species
GACGAACGCUGGCGGCGCGCCUAACACAUGCAAGUCGAACGAGAGAGAGGGAGCUUGCUUCCUCAAUCGAGUGGCGAACGGGUGAGUAACGCGUGAGGAACCUGCCUCAAAGAGGGGGACAACAGUUGGAAACGACUGCUAAUACCGCAUAAGCCCACAGGUCGGCAUCGACCAGAGGGAAAAGGAGCAAUCCGCUUUGAGAUGGCCUCGCGUCCGAUUGCUAGUUGGUGAGGUAAUGGCCCACCAAGGCAACGAUCGGUAGCCGGACUGAGAGGUUGAACGGCCACAUUGGGACUGAGACACGGCCCAGACUCCUACGGGAGGCAGCAGUGGGGAAUAUUGCACAAUGGGGGAAACCCUGAUGCAGCGACGCCGCGUGGAGGAAGAAGGUCUUCGGAUUGUAAACUCCUGUUGUUGAGGAAGAUAAUGACGGUACUCAACAAGGAAGUGACGGCUAACUACGUGCCAGCAGCCGCGGUAAAACGUAGGUCACAAGCGUUGUCCGGAAUUACUGGGUGUAAAGGGAGCGCAGGCGGGAAGACAAGUUGGAAGUGAAAUCUAUGGGCUCAACCCAUAAACUGCUUUCAAAACUGUUUUUCUUGAGUAGUGCAGAGGUAGGCGGAAUUCCCGGUGUAGCGGUGGAAUGCGUAGAUAUCGGGAGGAACACCAGUGGCGAAGGCGGCCUACUGGGCACCAACUGACGCUGAGGCUCGAAAGUGUGGGUAGCAAACAGGAUUAGAUACCUUGGUAGUCCACACCGUAAACGAUGAUUACUAGGUGUUGGAGGAUUGACCCCCUCAGUGCCGCAGGUAACACAAUAAGUAAUCCACCUGGGGAGUACGACCGCAAGGUUGAAACUCAAAGGAAUUGACGGGGGCCCGCACAAGCAGUGGAGUAUGUGGUUUAAUUCGACGCAACGCGAAGAACCUUACCAAGUCUUGACAUCCCUUGACGAACAUAGAAAUAUGUUUUCUCUUCGGAGCAAGGAGACAGGUGGUGCAUGGUUGUCGUCAGCUCGUGUCGUGAGAUGUUGGGUUAAGUCCCGCAACGAGCGCAACCCUUACUGUCAGUUACUACGCAAGAGGACUCUGGCAGGACUGCCGUUGACAAAACGGAGGAAGGUGGGGAUGACGUCAAAUCAUCAUGCCCUUUAUGACUUGGGCUACACACGUACUACAAUGGCGUUAAACAAAGAGAAGCAAGACCGCGAGGUGGAGCAAAACUCAGAAACAACGUCCCAGUUCGGACUGCAGGCUGCAACUCGCCUGCACGAAGUCGGAAUUGCUAGUAAUCGUGGAUCAGCAUGCCACGGUGAAUAAAGGGCCGGGCCUUGCACU